UCUCCGUAGGUGAACCUGCGGAGGGAUCAUUACAGAGUUCUCGCCCUCGCGGGUAGAUCUCCCACCCACUGUUAUCGUUACUGUGUUGCUUUGGCGGGCCGCCGGGCCCCGCUCGGCCGCCGGCUCCGGCUGGCGCGCGCACGCCAGAGGCCCAGCAAACUCUGAAUGUUAGUGUCGUCUGAGUACUAUAUAAUAGUUAAAACUUUCAACAACGGAUCUCUUGGUUCUG
rnacentral:misc_RNA from 1 species